UAAAUAGUAAUACUUGUUGCUUCAAAAAAAAAUAUAGUUAGUUGCUCAGCUUACUGAGGUUGCAGGAGGAGGAGGUUGGAGAUAGAAGGGAAAUGGUGCGUUUAGGCGGGAAAAUGGUGAGCCAUGUGGUGAAAUUUGGCGGCAACUGUUUCGGCCAGGUUCUGGCUGCUGCCGCGGUGACUCUCCUGCUCCGAUUCUUUUCCGGUCCGGGCCCUGCUUUAUUACCGGAGGAUGAGUUUAGCGACGAUGAGAAGAACGAUGUUUCUGGAGACGAUAAAACUCGAGAGGCUUCGGUCGAUGGGAAAGUUGUUCCGGUUACUAUCCGCUGGAGCAACAUCACGUGUUCUCUCUCUGAUAAAUCCUCUAAACAAGUGCGGUUUCUGCUGAAAAAUGUCAGUGGAGAAGCAAAGCCUGGAAGAUUGCUUGCGAUCAUGGGGCCAUCGGGAUCGGGAAAAACGACUUUGCUCAAUGUUCUGGCGGGGCAGCUAAUGGCAUCUCCUCGUGUGCAUUUAUCAGGUCUUUUAGAGGUCAAUGGGAGGCCUACUUCGAAUAGAGCUUACAAGUUUGCUUAUGUGAGACAGGAGGAUCUUUUCUUCUCGCAGCUGACAGUGAGGGAAACGCUGUCCCUUGCUGCAGAACUUCAACUUCCAGAGAUAUCUUCGGCGGAAGAAAGGGAUGAGUUUGUGAACAAUUUGCUGUUCAAGCUAGGUCUGGUCAGUUGUGCUGAUUCCAUUGUUGGUGAUGCAAAAGUUCGUGGGAUAAGUGGUGGUGAAAAGAAACGUUUAUCAGUGGCCUGUGAACUUAUUGCUAGCCCAUCUGUCAUAUUUACUGAUGAGCCUACAACAGGGCUUGAUGCUUUCCAAGCAGAGAGAGUGAUGGAAACUCUCCGACAACUUGCACAGGCUGGACAUACUGUAAUUUGUUCUAUUCACCAGCCCAGAGGUUCAGUGUACAGUAAAUUUGAUGACAUUGUUUUGCUAACAGAGGGUGCACUUGUUUAUGCUGGUCCUGCACAUGAUGAACCGCUAGCAUACUUCUCAAAAUUUGGGUAUCAUUGCCUAGAUCAUGUCAAUCCAGCAGAAUUUUUGGCUGAUCUCAUAUCUAUUGACUAUAGUUCUGCUGAAAGUGUGUACUCAUCUCAGAAAAGGAUAGAUGGCCUUGUUGAGUCAUUCUCACAACAAUUGUCAAUGAUGCUUUAUGCAACUCCCCUUACCAGAAGGGAGAGCCCUAAGAAUGACAGGAAGUUAAGCAAGAAAACUGUUGUGAAAAGGAAAGAGUCUUGGUGGAGGCAAUUCUGGUUGCUCCUUAAACGUGCAUGGAUGCAAGCUUCUCGAGAUGGGCCAACAAACAAAGUUCGGGCAAGAAUGUCAAUUGCAUCAGCUAUAAUAUUUGGAUCAGUUUUCUGGAGAAUGGGAAGAUCUCAGACAUCAAUACAAGACAGGAUGGGAUUGCUCCAGGUCACAGCAAUAAACACAGCAAUGGCUGCUCUCACAAAAACUGUGGGUGUGUUUCCCAAGGAACGUGCAAUUGUAGAUAGAGAGCGUGCAAAGGGAUCAUAUGCAUUAGGACCAUAUCUGCUUUCUAAAUUGAUAGCUGAGAUUCCUGUUGGAGCUGCAUUUCCAUUAAUGUUUGGUGCUUUAUUGUAUCCCAUGGCACGUCUCCAUCCCACUUUGUCCAGGUUUGGAAAGUUCUGUGGAAUUGUGACAGCAGAAUCAUUUGCUGCAUCUGCUAUGGGUCUAACUGUGGGAGCUAUGGUUCCAACCACUGAAGCAGCAAUGGCACUAGGACCAUCUCUUAUGACAGUUUUUAUUGUAUUUGGGGGGUAUUAUGUUAAUGCAGAUAAUACACCAAUCAUCUUCCGCUGGAUACCUGAUGUUUCUCUGAUAAGAUGGGCCUUUCAAGGGCUUUGCAUCAAUGAAUUUACUGGACUCAAGUUCGAUCGCCAACAUUCAUUUGAUGUUGAAAACGGUGAACAGGCACUCGAGCGACUCUCCUUUGGAGGAAGCCACAUUAAUGAUACGGUGAUAGCUCAAAGUAGAAUUUUGUUAUUUUGGUACUGCACUACUUACCUUCUCCUUGAAAAAAACAAGCCCAAAUACCAACGGCUUGAGCCACCUCCUCUUGAACAAAUCCAACAACAGCUACAGGUUGAGCCCUUGGAACCUGACCAAGUCAAACAACUUAAUCAUUCACUGAAGCAAGAUGAAUCAAACCAGCAGCUUGAAAUCCGACCAUUUAUCUUGGAAGGUGCUAAGUAAAGGAGAUCAUUUCUUUUGCAAUAAAGGAGGUUCUCAUGCCUUUUCUAGCUGCUAUUGUAGAACUUGACAACAAUAAGUUGAUUUACGUAUAUCUCAAACUCAAGCAGCUAAGAAAUCUCUCAUGUAGAAUGUUGCAAUCGAGUCCUAACGCCAUCGAAAUAUGUCAUCUUUCAGUAUAAUUGAAUGUGUGUCACGCUUCUUUUGUGCAGCAUGAUGAACCAUUCUCAUUGAUAUCAAAGUUUCAGUCAUUUUAAAUUUUCAAUGCAUUGACACACAUUGCCUCUUUUUUCUUUUAUGAAACACAAGGGUCAUCAUUGUAAAGUUGUCUCACCUGAAUGGAAUUUCACCAUUUCAACCAACUUUGAUAACAAGUUGUAGUUUUGUACCAUCGGAGAAGUUAACGGCGCGAAUGUAGCUUACAACUUAUGCUUGAUUUCCUUAUGACGCUUUCAACAGAAUAUUUUUCAUGCAGAGAGAGCUUUGUUAUACCAAUUCAACUGGCAUCAUCAAGUUCAGUCAUUUUCACUUUUGACUUUUGCAAUGAGAACAAGAUUGACAAAUUCAAAUAUUCAAAUCAUUUGGGAUAUAUCGAUCGUGUCAUUGCCGUCUUCCUGCUUCGAGAAGAGAAAAAAAUAAUGGGAUACAUUGAUCAUGUCAUUGUCAUAUUUAAAGUUUUAAACGGUCACCGCCAGCCGCCCGAAAAAUGCAAACUCGGCUCUUUCUUGGAGAACAUUCUAACCGGGACAGGGAGAACUGAUACGGCACCCAAUCAAAAUUACGCGUUAGUUUAUGCCACUUUUCGCAACUCUCAACUCUCAUAAAUACGGGGACUUUUUGCCAUAAUCAGAGCACUUACGCAACCCAUUCUCAAAAACUCGUAUUAAAAGCAAUCCUCCAGCCAAAAAAAAGAAAAAAAGCAAUAAUGGAAAAGCCAACCAUCCUACACUCAUCAUCUCUCCCUGUCCCAGCGCACCCAUUUCCUGCCAAAUCGUUGCACUUUUACCAAAAGAUUAGCCUCAAACCUUCCCACAAGAUUAUUUCAGCAUCAAAAAGAGACAGAUUUGGCCGCGAUUAUGAGGGCAAAUCAGUCGACGAAAGCAUGAUCGUUCUUAGAAAGCGUAUACGGGAGAUGAAGUUGACAGAGACAACUUACGAGUACCCUUGCGAGUGGAUGGAAUGGGAGAAGCAAUAUUUUCCAGACUACAAUUCUCAUGUUGCAAGGAUGCAAAAAUGGAGCUUGUUUCCCUCUUCAAAUUCAAGCUUCUAAUAUUUUGAGUGCUUUAAUCUUAUCUUAGGACAACUUGUUUGAUUGAAGUAUUUAGUUGUAUUUGUAACUUUCUAGGCUUAAUGGUGUAAUUUCUAACUUUUUAAAAAUUAGAUGUAAUAUGUUGUAAGUAUUUUUCUUUUUAGUUAUUUUGUAAGAGUAAGACUGUUUAGUAAAUGUUAACAACUAAAAAUUAUUGUGACA